rnacentral:rRNA from 1 species
GAUCAUGGCUCAGAUUGAACGCUAGCGGCUAGGCUUAACACAUGCAAGUCGAGGGGUAGAGGAAGCUUGCUUCCUUGAGACCGGCGCACGGGUGCGUAACGCGUAUACAAUCUACCUUUACAGAGGGAUAGACCCAGAGAAAUUUGGAUUAAUACCUCAUAGUAUUUUCGAAUCGCAUGGUUUGAUUAUUAAAGUUCCAACGGUAAAAGAUGAGUAUGCGUCCCAUUAGCUAGUUGGUAAGGUAACGGCUUACCAAGGCUACGAUGGGUAGGGUCCUGAGAGGGAGAUCCCCCACACUGGUACUGAGACACGGACCAGACUCCUACGGGAGGCAGCAGUGAGGAAUAUUGGACAAUGGGCGCAAGCCUGAUCCAGCCAUGCCGCGUGCAGGAUGACGGUCCUAUGGAUUGUAAACUGCUUUAUACAGGAAGAAACACUCCGACGUGUCGGAGCUUGACGGUACUGUAAGAAUAAGGAUCGGCUAACUCCGUG